rnacentral:rRNA from 1 species
UGGCGGCAGGCCUAACACAUGCAAGUCGAGCGGUAGAGAGAAGCUUGCUUCUCUUGAGAGCGGCGGACGGGUGAGUAAUGCCUAGGAAUCUGCCUGGUAGUGGGGGAUAACGUUCGGAAACGGACGCUAAUACCGCAUACGUCCUACGGGAGAAAGCAGGGGACCUUCGGGCCUUGCGCUAUCAGAUGAGCCUAGGUCGGAUUAGCUAGUUGGUGGGGUAAUGGCUCACCAAGGCGACGAUCCGUAACUGGUCUGAGAGGAUGAUCAGUCACACUGGAACUGAGACACGGUCCAGACUCCUACGGGAGGCAGCAGUGGGGAAUAUUGGACAAUGGGCGAAAGCCUGAUCCAGCCAUGCCGCGUGUGUGAAGAAGGUCUUCGGAUUGUAAAGCACUUUAAGUUGGGAGGAAGGGUUGUAGAUUAAUACUCUGCAAUUUUGACGUUACCGACAGAAUAAGCACCGGCUAACUCUGUGCCAGCAGCCGCGGUAAUACAGAGGGUGCAAGCGUUAAUCGGAAUUACUGGGCGUAAAGCGCGCGUAGGUGGUUUGUUAAGUUGGAUGUGAAAUCCCCGGGCUCAACCUGGGAACUGCAUUCAAAACUGACUGACUAGAGUAUGGUAGAGGGUGGUGGAAUUUCCUGUGUAGCGGUGAAAUGCGUAGAUAUAGGAAGGAACACCAGUGGCGAAGGCGACCACCUGGACUGAUACUGACACUGAGGUGCGAAA